UACGUAGGGUGCGAGCGUUAAUCGGAAUUACUGGGCGUAAAGCGUGCGCAGGCGGUUCGUUGUGUCCGUCGUGAAAGCCCCGGGCUUAACCUGGGAACUGCGAUGGAAACUAGCGAGCUGGAGUGUGGCAGAGGGGGGUGGAAUUCCGCGUGUAGCAGUGAAAUGCGUAGAGAUGCGGAGGAACACCGAUGGCGAAGGCAGCCCCCUGGGCUAACACUGACGCUCAGGCACGAAAGCGUGGGGAGGAAACAGG
rnacentral:rRNA from 1 species